GCAGUACGACAGCACCGAGGUCAAGGAGAACCAGUGGAGGAGGCUCUAAGAAGGAGACCACCUGGAUCCACUUUAUUCAGGUCCACAGUGAUUCCUCCAGUAUUUACAUGUGUGUGUUUGUAAUGGUGUUGGCUUUGAUGUGGGCUCCAUCUGCAGGUGAACACAAGACCAGACCUGGAUCAGCAAGAGGUUUGGACAAAGCUGAAGGAAAGAAGAUGUGUGGAUAUGCUGCUGAAGAUGUCUGUGAAUUGAUGGAAGAAUGUCUCUUA